GACAGAGGAUGCAAGCGUUAUCCGGAAUGAUUGGGCGUAAAGCGUCUGUAGGUGGCUUUUUAAGUCCGCCGUCAAAUCCCAGGGCUCAACCCUGGACAGGCGGUGGAAACUACCAAGCUGGAGUACGGUAGGGGCAGAGGGAAUUUCCGGUGGAGCGGGUGAAAUGCGUAGAUAUCGGAAGGAACACCUGUGGCGAAAAGCGGCUCACUGGACCACAACUGACGCUGAUGCGCGAAAGCUAGGGGGAGCAAACAGG
rnacentral:rRNA from 1 species